ensembl:lncRNA
CAGGCAGUAAACUGGAGUCAGACUAGAUUAGUGGGGAGGGACAGGCAGUAAACUGGAGUCAGACUAGAUUAGUGGGGGAGGGACAGGCAGUAAACUGGAGUCAGACUAGAUUAGUAGGGGAGGGACAGGCAGUAAACUAGUAAACUGGAGUCAGACUAGAUUAGUGGGGGAAGGACAGGCAGUAAACUGGAGUCAGACUAGAUUAGUAGGGGAGGGACAGGCAGUUAACUGGAGUCAGACUAGAUUAGUAGGGGAGGGACAGGCAGUAAACUGGAGUCAGACUAGAUUAGUGGGGGAGGGACAGGCAGUAAACUGGAGUCAGACUAGAUUAGUGGGGGAGGGACAGGCAGUAAACUGGAGUCAGACUAGAUUAGUAGGGGAGGGACAGGCAGUAAACUGGAGUCAGACUAGAUUAGUGGGGGAGGGACAGGCAGUAAACUGGAGCAGACUAGAUUAGUAGGGGAGGGACAGGCAGUAAACUGGAGUCAGACUAGAUUAGUGGGGGAAGGACAGGCAGUAAACUGGAGUCAGACUAGAUUAUUGGGGGAGGGACAGACAGUAAACUGGAGUCAGACUAGAUUAUUGGGGGAGGGACAGACAGUAAACUGGAGUCAGACUAGAUUAGUGGGGGAGGGACAUUACAAUCAGAUUUUCCCAGCUAGUGACAGCGGGUUUGACUCCAAGUCCUUGACUGCUGGUGUCAUUGAGUCUUGUGUAGAGUACAGUAUACUUAUGAGAUGAGUAAUAUAGGGUAUAUAAACAUUAUAUAAGGUGGCUAGUGAUACAUGUAUUACAUCUACGUUUCCAUUAUUAAAGUGGCUGGAUAGUUGAGUCAGUGUGUUGGCAGCAGAAUCUCAGGGAUCUUUAACUGCUGAGUUGUGAGAUGACCUGCUACAUUUCCAGGAUAUUCAUCUUUCUUUAAUCUACUUCAAGCAUCCGAGUUUAAAGCUUCACAAGGUGUUAUAAGGAUGUAUAAGCCGAGUUUAAAGCUUCACAAGGUGUUAUAAGGAUGUAUAAACCUUUAUAAUGUCUUAUAAACGUGGCUUAAUAUUUCUGUAUUCUCUCUUUUCUUUUUUUAAUAGCAUUUGCCACCUCCUCUUCCCAGCAAGACCCCUCCUCCCCCUCCCCCUAAGACCACCAGGAAACAAGCCUCCAUCGAUUCAGGAAUUGUACAAUAAACAAUAACAUUAAGACACCCGAUUUAAAACACACAAUGUUCUUUCCCUCUGCAAUCCCCCCCCUCAUCCCCGCUCAACACAAGGCUGCGUUAACAAAAUGGCGACCUAUUUCCAAUAGUGGACUACUUUUCACCAUCGGGUUCUGAUCAAACGUAGGGCACUAUAUAGUGAACAGGGUGCCAUUUGGGGAAACAGCCGCAGUCUGACCAGGAGUGGAAGAAGAGUAUCUCACUCAGGCAACACUCCUUAUUGAGCCAUUCAUCUAGGAUGUGUGCCAAACAGCACCCUAUUCCCCAUAUAGUGCACUACUUUUGACCACGGCCGAUAGGGCUCUGGUUAAAAGUAGUGCACUACGUAGGGAAUAGGGUGCCAUUUUGUGGCAGAGCCUCAUUGAUCCUUUUCAAUUUUUGCCUGAAGUGUGAUGAUGCGGUCUACUUUACCAUAGGUUAGAUAGGUGAAUCAGUUUCACAUGAUUACUGGUCACUGAAUGUAUUGAUGCUAUCUACCAUCUAGGACUCCAUUCUCCACGUGAUGCCACUUAGUUCAGGCCUUUGUAAUGCUAUGAGAUAGAACCUAUAGAAUCUUUAGAAUGAGUGAAAUGAAUAUAGAAUCAGAACCAGGUGAAUGAAGCGUUCUCUGGUUCUGUCUUUGACCAAUAGACAGGCUGGUGAGUGACGACCAACAUUCUGACCCCUCCCAUCUGCUCUUAGGAGCUGGGAGCACAUAGUAACAGAAAACAUGCUUUUUAUUCUGUGGUUUAUCUUUUGUAUCCAUAGUUACAGAAAGCAUCCAUUUUUAUUCAGUGGUUUAUCUUUUUCUAUCCAUAUUCCCGCUUUGUACAGAGGUUUGUAUAUAGGAUUUUAUUUUCAUUUCAUUUUUUUUUUAUGUGGAAUUUAUCAUGACUUUUAUUUUGUAUUAACAUUGCAUUAGAUUAACAGGUUUGCAUUUAUACCCCCCAAAAAAAAAAAAAAAAUGUUUUUUAAAGUUUUUAAAUGACAGGGACUAUAAAGAAUUGGUAUGUGAGAAUCUGCCUAUCGUUGAUUUUCUGGGUAAGGUUUGUGUUUUCUUUGCAGUGAACACAACUAACUCCCUCCACCUUCAUCAUAUGUCGUCAUUGUAUAGGAUUUUAACGCUGACUGUUUCCAAUUCACUACUGACUUCUGAAUAAACUUUCUCAACUGGAUGUUUCAACUGUUUCUUUGUGUUUUCGCUCGCUGCCCUACAACUUAACGAAACAAAAUGUAUCUUUGAAACAAAGUCUGUUCCGU